AUUGAACGCUGGCGGCGUGCCUUACACAUGCAAGUCGGACGAGUGGCGGACGGGUGAGUAACGUAUCGGAACGUACCUGGUGAUGGGGGAUAACUGCUCGAAACGGUAGCUAAUACCGCAUACUAUUCGAGCUGCCGAUGUGUGAUUAGCUGGUUGGUGGGGUAACGGCCCACCAAGGCGACGAUCAGUAGCGGGUCUGAGAGGAUGAACCGCCACACUGGGACUGAGACACGGCCCAGACUCCUACGGGAGGCAGCAGUGGGGAAUUUUGGACAAUGGGCGCAAGCCUGAUCCAGCCAUGCCGCGUGUCUGAAGAAGGCCUUCGGGUUGUAAAGUACUUUUGUCAGGGAAGCGGUACCUGAAGAAUAAGCACCGGCUAACUACGUGCCAGCAGCCGCGGUAAUAC
rnacentral:rRNA from 1 species